rnacentral:rRNA from 1 species
UAUUCCCCACUGCUGCCUCCCGUAGGAGUCUGGGCCGUAUCUCAGUCCCAAUGUGGCCGUUCAACCUCUCAGUCCGGCUACUGAUCGCAGUCUUGGUAGGCCGUUACCCUGCCAUCUAACUAAUCAGAUAUGAGCCCAUCUUUCAGCGGAUUGCUCCUUUGGUAUCAAAGGGAUGCCCCCUCGAUACAUUAUGCGGUAUUAGCAGUCGUUUCCAACUGUUGUCCCCCUCUGAAAGGCAGGUUGCUCAUACAUUACUCACCCGUCCGCCACUAAGUCAAAUCCCUCUUCGACGAAUCUCUGAGGAAGAUGCUUCGUUCGACUUGCAUGUGUUAGGCACGCCGCCAGCGUUCAUCCUGAGCCAA